AAGGCUUCCAGCACAAAGUGCAAAGCAGGGCUCUACGAAGCAGAAGGGGAGACUUUGCCAAGGACACCUGGCUGCCAGACCGCAGGAGGAGCCUAAGAGCGACGUGGACUUUGGGAAAUUUCCCUUUCUGGGCCUGUCAUGGAGAAGAAGUCACACAAGAUCAAGUCAGUUUUGAACACAUAAAGGUCCUGGGGCAGGAGUGAGCCGGGCAGACCAGAGUCUGUGAUGCCCUGGCCGCUGUGUGGAGAACAGAUGUCGUGGAGUUCAGGUGGGUUCUGACCAAGGAGGCCAGCGCCUGCUUUAGCUCCCAGCCCCAUGGAAGGGCACCGAAAUCCACGUUGGAGACAAGGACCACUCUCCUGAAGGCGGUUCUGGCCUCAGAAGGUGAUGCCCUGGCCACCGUGUGGAGAACAGAUGUGGAUCUGAGGUGGGUUCUGGCCAGGGAGGCCAGCGGCUGCUUUAGCUCCCAGCUGCACUGAAAACCAGCCCCAAGACCAGCUCACACCAGGACUGCAGGUGCUGACUCCCCAGAUGUGAAGGUGGGGGUGAGAAGGGAGUGUCACAUAACUAAAGGAUG